UAGCAUAUCAAUAAGCGGAGGAAAAGAAACCAACAGGGAUUGCCCUAGUAACGGCGAGUGAAGCGGCAACAGCUCAAAUUUGAAAGCUGGCCUUCUGGUCCGCAUUGUAAUUUGUAGAGGAAGCUUUUGGCGCGGUGCCUUCCGAGUUCCCUGGAACGGGACGCCUUAGAGGGUGAGAGCCCCGUACGGUCGGACACUAAGCCUCUGUAAAGCUCUUUCGACGAGUCGAGUAGUUUGGGAAUGCUGCUCUAAAUGGGAGGUAAAUUUCUUCUAAAGCUAAAUACCGGCCAGAGACCGAUAGCGCACAAGUAGAGUGAUCGAAAGAUGAAAAGCACUUUGAAAAGAGGGUUAAAUAGCACGUGAAAUUGUUGAAAGGGAAGCGUUUGCGAUCAGACCUUUGCCGGGCGGAUCACCCGGUGUACUCACCGGUGCACUUCGCCCGGCGGCUGCCAGCAUCGGUUUCCGCAGGGGGAUAAAAGCUUGGGGAAAGUAGCUCCCCCGGGAGUGUUAUAGCCCCUUGCAUAAUACCCUUGCGGGGACCGAGGACCGCGCUUUUGCAAGGAUGCUGGCAUAAUGGUCGUUAACGACCCGUCUUGAAACACGGACCAAGGAGUCGAACAUUUGUGCGAGUGUUUGGGUGUCAAACCCUCACGCGUAAUGAAAGUGAACGGAGGUGAGAGCCCUUACGGGUGCAUCAUCGACCGAUCCUGAUGUCUUCGGAUGGAUUUGAGUAAGAGCAUAACUGUUCGGACCCGAAAGAUGGUGAACUAUGCGUGGAUAGGGUGAAGCCAGAGGAAACUCUGGUGGAGGCUCGCAGCGGUUCUGACGUGCAAAUCGAUCGUCAAAUCUGCGCAUGGGGGCGAAAGACUAAUCGAACCAUCUAGU
rnacentral:rRNA from 1 species